rnacentral:lncRNA from 1 species
UAGAAUAAUUGGACUUUAAAAUUAACGAAAAAAUGGGAUUAAAGCAAGAGGCGUCGCUUAAUUAGAAGCGCGAAGAGGCGUCCCUUACCAGCCACGUGUCGCGAUACUACUAGAGAGAGGAGCGAUGUCGGGGUUUCGACAAAUCUUUUCUUUUCUCCUUUCUCUCUUUCGGUUCGUCUUCUCUCCUCGGCGAAAGGCGAUUCUCUCCCUUCCGAUGGCUCUCCUCGACGAAACGGCGACGGUUCUAUCAGUGGUUCUUGGCGAGGAAGGAAAACGGAGACCUCUCUAUCGGUGGCUCUCCUCGAAGAGGCGGCUGGCGACCUCUCUCUCUAUCGGUGGCACUCUGCGACGAAGAACAACGGCGACUACUGCGGCUGAGGCGAAUCGAAAGGUAAAGCUGCGGUAAUAUUUGUUUAUGUUUCAAUCAUUCAAGUAUGCAUGUCUUAGAUUCUUCAUCAUGAAUCUUUAAAAGUAAAUCCUCUGAUUUUUUUUUAUUUGUUGUUGUUUUUGUGUCUUUAGGUGGAUUGAUCAAGAGGCAUGAUCCAGGUAUAUUUGUUCUUUCUUCAUCGUCAAUUUGUAGUACAUAUCCUCUGAUUUUUUUUAUUUGUUUCUCUUUGUUUUGUCGUAGGUGGAUUGUUGAAUAGGUUGUUCGAGGUUGAUUGCGUAUGUGUGUAAUUAGGUAUAUUUUGCUCCUUCUUCAUCGUUAUUUUUACUUGAUAAAUCGUCGAAUUUGUUUUGAUAUGUUUCGGUUAUUUUUUGUGAUUAGAUGGUUUGAUCAAGAGGCAUCACACAGGUUCUUGAGACAAUGGACGUACGAUGCAUCAUACAGGUAAAUCCUAUGUCUUUGCUCUGUUUACUUGUGAUAAAGAAUUGUCUUUGAUGGUGGUUUGAAAUGAAUUUAAUUAUCGGUUAGUGUUAAGUUAUGUAAUAAAUAGCUUUGGUUAUUGUUUGAUAAUGGUUAUUUUAGGUAAUAAAUAGCUUUGAUUAUGGUUAGAUAGAAAUAAAUGGUGUGGUGUGUUGAUUGUGUUAGAUAAGUGUCUACUCGAACAGCUUGGUUGUGAUCAAUGCCUUGAUAGGAUUCUUGAAUCUAUAAAAAAAAUUACCUUCUCCUCUUUCUUGAAUACACUUCAAAACGUGUUCUUUUCUUCCCACUUCCUCACUUUUCUUCUUUCAUUUCUCUCUUUCUUGAUCGUCCUUCUAAUAUGGAUUCUUAUUCAUCUUUUGAAACUUCAAAAUUUGUUGAUCUACUUAAUAGUCAACAAACUGUUUCAUUUGGAAACUUUGAAGAUAGUGUCAAACUAUCUUCAUCUCAAGUUCCCUUUCUGGGUAGUCUAGGAACCAAAGCUUCAAACUUUGAUGGAGACACGGCCGCAGAGCAUAGCAAACGACGGAAAUGGACACCAAAUGAUGAUAUUAUCAUGAUCAAGUCGUGGUUAAACACGAGCAAAGAUCAUGUAAUUGGCAACGAGCAAAAAUCAGGAGCUUUUUGAAAAAGAAUUGCCUCAUACUUUGCGGCAAGUCCUCUGGUUGCUAGCUGCGAAGAGAGAGAUGCAAGCCAUUGCAAGCAACAGUGACACAAGAUCAAUGACCUUGUGUGCAAGUUAUGUGGUGCGUAUGAAGCUGCUACUGGAGAGAAAGCUAGCGGCCAGAAUGAGAAUGAUGUUGUGAAACUUGCUUAUCAAAUAUUCUACAACAACCAUAAGAAGAAAUUCACUCUGGAACACACUUGGAAGGAACUACGCAACGACCAGAGGUGGUGUGACCUUGCUACUGCUGAAAAGGAAGUGGGCUCGAAGAAGAGGAAGUGUGAGGACGGUGCAGAUUUAGAGAGCUCUCAAGCAACUGAGAACAAGCAUCCCCCGGGUGUGAAGGCCGCAAAGGCAAGUGGUAAGAAGAAGGUGGUAGAGAAAAAUAGUCUGAAUGAGUUUCAGACUAUGUGGACGAUCAAACAGCACGAUUUGGCUGCGAAAGAGAGACGUUGUCUAAGAUGAAUCUGCUUCACCGUCUUAUUGGAAAAAAAGAACCUCUAGUUGAGUAUGAAGAAGUACUCAAGAAGAAGCUCAUAAACGACAUGUUAUCAAAUUAGUUAGUCGUCUAAGAGCAUGUUCUCUUUCUUGUUAUGUUUCAUGUUCUGUUUCAGGUUAAAAUUGAUUGUUUUUGUUUCGUUUCAAUCUUGUUCUGUUUAUGUAGUUCUGACCUGCAUUAAUGUAGUUCAAAGUUUAAUUAAAAUGUUCUUGUUAUGCAAAAUGUUCUUUGAGAAAUAUUAUUAUCUAAAAUGUUCUUGUUAUGCAAAAUGUUUUUUGAGAAAUGUUAUCUAAAAUGUUUUUGUUUUUGUUAUCUAAAAUGUUCUUGAUCUUGUAAUGUAUGUCUUCUAUUGACGAGACAGAGGAGACAGUGCAAGAGUGUCACGAUGGUGGAGACAGUGAAAGAGUGUCACCAGAGUGGAGACAGUGAAAGAGAAAUGUCGAGAAAUGUAUGUUUGUGUGUUGUGGUGUCACGAGCAAAGAUCAUGUUUGUGUGUUGUAGGGUCAAGAGAAAUGUAUGUAUGUGUGUGUUGUUGUAGUCUUGUGUCACGAGACAAGCAAUGUGUGUGUGUGGGUGUCACGAGAAUCUGUGAGUUAUUGUAGUCUUGUGUCUGUGUGUAUUUGUUGUUGUAGUCUAGUGUGUGUCACGAAAAAUAUAUAUAUGUGAAACAUUAUAUAUGUGUCACAAGAAUAAAUCACUAACAC